rnacentral:rRNA from 1 species
GCGGUUGGCGGCAUGCUAACCAUGCAGUCGAACGGAAUCUUCGGAUUUAGUGGCGGACGGGUGAGUAACGCGUGAGAAUCUGCCUUCAGGAUGGGGACAACAGUUGGAAACGACUGCUAAUACCCGAUAUGCAGCGAUGUGAAAGAUUUAUCGCCUGGAGAUGAGCUCGCGUCAGAUUAGCUAGUUGGUGUGGUAAAGGCGCACCAAGGCGACGAUCUGUAGCUGGUCUGAGAGGAUGAGCAGCCACACUGGGACUGAGACACGGCCCAGACUCCUACGGGAGGCAGCAGUGGGGAAUUUUCCGCAAUGGGCGCAAGCCUGACGGAGCAAUACCGCGUGAGGGAGGAAGGCUCUUGGGUCGUAAACCUCUUUUCUCAGGGAAGAACACAAUGACGGUACCUGAGGAAUAAGCAUCGGCUAACUCCGUGCCAGCAGCCGCGGUAAUACGGAGGAUGCAAGCGUUAUCCGGAAUGAUUGGGCGUAAAGCGUCCGUAGGUGGUUUUGUAAGUCUGUGGUUAAAGCGUGUAGCUCAACUACAUAACGGCCAUGGAAACUACAUAACUUGAGUGAAGUAGGGGUAGAGGGAAUUCCCAGUGUAGCGGUGAAAUGCGUAGAGAUUGGGAAGAACACCGGUGGCGAAAGCGCUCUAC